CGAGGUCGGUCAGCCUUAAGAAGAGCCCACUGACUGGGACAUUUGGGAGCUAUUCCCCCUCCAGUGCCCCUUGGAAAUUUGAGCCCUGAUUAUUAAUAUAUUGACUGCUAUAAUGUUUAUCCUUCUCUCUGUAGAUAGGGAAAGGAAUUUUGCUCAAUUCAACUACGUCAAUGAACAAAAUAGCCAGAAGGACCGACUAUGGGAAGAAAUUCAUGAGCUUUGUCAUGAGAUCCAGGAGAUUCAAAAGCGAAACAGUCAAAGGGAGGCCCAGCAGCUGUUGCAGCUCCACGAAAUUGAAGGCCAACAGGAGGACACUGUGAAAGAGGCCAAUCAGGCUGAACAGAAUGUGAAAAGGUUCCUCAAGAUUUGGGAACAGCUUAAAAGUGGUGAGCAAUGAGGGGAGAAAAAGGAGUUGCAACUGAAUAAUAAUGAGAAAGCUUUUCUCCAAAGCUUUGCAGAUAGGGACUGGCUCAUGACAGCUAUGCCUUUUUUUAAUUCCUCCCAAGAGUGCACUAUCUUUUGGGAAUGUGCCACCUAUUGUGAUUGUUGCCAGGAUGAUCACAACCAAUUGUAGAAUUUCAGGUCAUCAGUUAAGUUAGCACUGGUGCCACAGCUCCUCCCUGGUACCCAAGAUUGCCCCCAGUCCCCUCAUCACCGUUGUUUUCCUUGUGUUUUUAAAAUUGAUGUAUGUGAAGCCAACAGACUUCAGGAUCAAAAACUUAAUUAUAGCCACCUACGAUGAUGGACAGCAUAUAUUGGGAGAACUAGGAAGCUUAAUGGACAUCAAAGUUCAUGUGUUGACAGCAAUGAGCACUAGAUUAGCUCUCCUUGCCAUAUUCUGUGUCAGAUGCUGCACCCUCGCAGUAAAAGCAGCGAGCAUGUGCAGAUGUGUAUGAUCCAAACAAGUGGUAGGCCAACAUUAUUUAGUGUGACAUAUCAUGACCUGAUAUAGUGAGGUGGGGGGUUCACUUAUGUAUCUCUUUCUUCCAGUAAAUACUGGUCCUACAAAUAUGGUCACAUUCUGUUUUUUAGCACUAGAAAU
rnacentral:lncRNA from 1 species